CAGCCGCCGCGGUAAAACGGAGGGAGCUAGCGUUGUUCGGAAUUACUGGGCGUAAAGCGCACGUAGGCGGCUUUGUAAGUUAGAGGUGAAAGCCUGGGGCUCAACUCCAGAAUUGCCUUUAAGACUGCAUCGCUUGGAUCAUGGAGAGGCGGGUGGAAUUCCGAGUGUAGAGGUGAAAUUCGUAGAUAUUCGGAAGAACACCAGUGGCGGAGGCGGCCCGCUGGACAUGUAUUGACGCUGAGGUGCGAAAGCGUGGGGAGCAAACAGGAUUAGAUACCCCAGUAGUCCCUGUCUCUUAUAC
rnacentral:rRNA from 1 species